UACGUAGGGUCCGAGCGUUGUCCGGAAUUAUUGGGCGUAAAGAGCUCGUAGGCGGUCUGUCACGUCGGCUGUGAAAACACGGGGCUCAACUCCGUGCCUGCAGUCGAUACGGGCAGACUAGAGUUCGGUAGGGGAGACUGGAAUUCCAGGUGUAGCGGUGAAAUGCGUAGAUAUCUGGAGGAACACCGGUGGCGAAGGCGGCAUCCUGGACCGGCAUUGACGCUGAUGAGCGAAAGCCAGGGGAGCAAACGGG
rnacentral:rRNA from 1 species